rnacentral:ncRNA from 1 species
AAAAAUAAAUAAUUGUUCGCUUAUAUAAGUCCUAUGAUAUGGUUAGGAUGUCUCUACUGAGCUACCGUAAAUUGCUCUACGCUAUAAGUAUCUAUCAUUAUUUU